UGUCCCGGAUUUAUUGGGGGGUAAAGCGAGGGCCGGGCGGUGAAUUAAGUCUGAACGGAAAGCCACCAGCUCAACUGGGGAGGUUCAUUGGAAACGGGAUCACCUGAGUGCAGAAGAGGAGAGGGGAAUUCCCAUGUGUAGCGGUGAAAUGCGUAGAUAUAUGGAGGAACACCAGUGGCGAAGGCGGCUCUCUGGUCUGUAACUGACGCUGAGGCUCGAAAGCGUGGGUAGCAAACAGGAUUAGAUACCCUGGUAGUCCACGCCGUAAACGAUGAGUGCUAAGUGUUGGAGGGUUUCCGCCCUUCAGUGCUGCAGUUAACGCAUUAAGCACUCCGCCUGGGGAGUACGACCGCAAGGUUGAAACUCAAAGGAAUUGACGGGGGCCCGCACAAGCGGUGGAGCAUGUGGUUUAAUUCGAAGCAACGCGAAGAACCUUACCAGGUCUUGACAUCCUUUGACCGCCCUAGAGAUAGGGUUUCCCCUUCGGGGGCAAAGUGACAGGUGGUGCAUGGUUGUCGUCAGCUCGUGUCGUGAGAUGUUGGGUUAAGUCCCGUAACGAGCGCAACCCUUAUUGUUAGUUGCCAGCAUUGAGUUGGGCACUCUAGCAAGACUGCCGGUGACAAACCGGAGGAAGGCGGGGAUGACGUCAAAUCAUGAUGCCCCUUAUGACCUGGGCUACACACGUGCUACAAUGGGAAGUACAACGAGCAAGCCAAGCCGCAAGGCCUAGCGAAUCUCUGAAAGCUUCUCUCAGUUCGGAUUGCAGGGUGCAGCUCGCCGGCAUGAAGCCGGAAUCGCUAGUAAUCGCGGAUCAGCAUGCCGCGGCGAAUCCGUUCCCGGGCCUUGUACACGCCGCCCGUCACACCACGAGAGUUUGUAACACCCAAAGUCGGAGCGGCAACCCUUAGGGGAGCCACCCGCCUAAGGUGGGAU
rnacentral:rRNA from 1 species